ensembl:snRNA U6 U6 spliceosomal RNA
GUGCUCACUUCGGCAGCUCGGGUGUUAAAAUGGGAAAGACACAGAGAAGAUUAGCACGGCCCCAGUGCAAGGAUGACACACAACUUUGUGAAGCGGUCCAUAUUUUU